CAGCAGCCGCGGGAAAACGGAGGGUGCAAGCGUUAUCCGGAUUUAUUGGGUUUAAAGGGUCCGUAGGCGGAUCUGUAAGUCAGUGGUGAAAUCUCACAGCUUAACUGUGAAACUGCCAUUGAUACUGCAGGUCUUGAGUAAAUUUGAAGUGGCUGGAAUAAGUAGUGUAGCGGUGAAAUGCAUAGAUAUUACUUAGAACACCAAUUGCGAAGGCAGGUCACUAAGAUUUAACUGACGCUGAUGGACGAAAGCGUGGGGAGCGAACAGGAUUAGAUACCCGCGUAGUCCCUGUCUCUUAUAA
rnacentral:rRNA from 1 species